rnacentral:rRNA from 1 species
GACGAACGCUGGCGGCGUGCUUAACACAUGCGAGUCGAACGGUGAAGCGCCUUCCUUUUUGGUGGGUGUGGUUGAGUGGCGAACGGGUGCGUAACACGUGAGUACCCUGCCCCCUUCUUCUGGAUAACCGCAUGAAAGUGUGGCUAAUACGGGAUAUUCUGGGUCUGUCGCAUGAUGGGACUGGGAAAGCUAUUGUUUCGGUGGGGGAUGGGCUGGCGGCCUGUCAGCUUGUAGGUGGGGUGAUGGCCUACCAAGGCGGUGAGGGUUAGCCGGCCUGAGAGGGUGGACGGUCACACGGGGAGUGAGACACGGUCGGGACUCCGACGGGACGCAGCAGCGUGGGAGAGUGCGCAAUGGGCGCAAGCCCGAAGCAGCGGCGCCGCGGGAGGGAUGGAGGCCUGCGGGUGGUGAAGCUCUUUCGCCAGUGAAGCAGGCCUGCCUCGUUUGUGGGUGGGUUGACGGUAGCGGGAUAAGAAGCGCCGGCUAACUACGUG